rnacentral:rRNA from 1 species
UUGAGCCUACGGGGCGCAGCAGUGGGGGAUAUUGCACAAUGGGGGAAACCCUGAUGCAGCGACGCCGCGUGUGGGAAGGCGGUCUUCUGGAUUGUAAACCACUGUCCCUAGGGACGAAAAUGACGGUACCUGGGGAGGAAGCUCCGGCUAACUACGUGCCAGCAGCCGCGGUAAUACGUAGGGAGCAAGCGUUGUCCGGAAUUACUGGGUGUAAAGGGAGCGUAGGCGGGGAUGCAAGUUGGGUGUCAAAACUACCGGCUCAACCGAUAGACGCACUCAAAACUGCAGCUCUUGAGUG